rnacentral:lncRNA from 1 species
CUUCUUCCCGGGACGGAGAAGGCGCUGGCGCCCCGGGCGGAGGUGGGAGCUCGCUGGGUCGGAUCCGGGCGAGGGCGCCGCUCUCGGCGGCGGCGGGGGAGCAAGUCGGGAGGACUCAACCUCCGGGCAAGAAGCCCCCACCCGGGACCCGGCGGGCCCCGCGGGCGCGGGGGUGGAUGCCCGGCUCGGGCAGAAAUCUCCCGCUCCGGUUUUCGCGGCCCUGGAGGGACCUUCCGCCCGAGAGCUCCCACCUGGGACGGCGGCUCCAGCAGGUCAAGACCCCGAGUGGAAGGAAGGCCGGGGGCGUGCAGGUAGACCCGUUUUCCUUUCUCCCGGCCAGGCGAUUUCUGCUGCCUGGGGCCGUGGCGGUGGGGGCUGCGGAGCCCAGGAGCUUCCCACCCAGAGGAAAGGCAGCCUCACCCUCACUCUUCUCAGCGCGGACACGCCGCCCUCACCGCCGUGGGUGAGGGUCCUCAGGCUACACCCCACGGCUUGGAAUUCCACAACAUUGGACGAGGCACUCAGGACGGCCUGGCUCCCACAGACCCCUGCAGGUGAGGACAGAUGCAAAGUGUGGGCGGGACUGGUUCUUGGGACGCAGACCCCGGUGGUGGUGGUGGUGGUGGUGGCAGCGGCGGUGGCGUGGUGA